AUUCUAGAGAACGUAAGGUUGGAGUCAGAUUUCAGGGUUGAAGAACAGAUCUCUAUAGGUGAAGAGUAGAUUAUAUUUUUUUCAGAAUUAUUCUUCUCCCAAGCUUUCAAGGACUUCUUUUGAGGACAUCAUGCCACCAAGAAGAGCAGCUUCUUCACAAAACAGUCAGGCUAAUGAUGAUGUACCUCCAGUUGAGGGUUUGCCUCCCGUGAGUGCAGAAGGGAUCAAUAGGUAUCUUGGGACACUAGCUGGUUUAGUUGAACGCCAAGCUCGAACUGUUGGGACUAAUGUUCAGGGACAGUCUUCAUCUUCUAGGGGUAGCUCUUUUGAUGACUUCAAGAAAUUGGGUCCUCCUUACUUUUCUGGUGCUACAGAUCCCACAGAGGCAGAGGCUUGGAUCCUUAAGAUGGAGAAAUUCUUUGGUGUCAAAGAUUGCUCUGAGGAGCAAAAAGCCUCUUAUGCAGCUUUUAUGUUAGAUAAAGAGGCAGAUCAUUGGUGGCGUAUGACUAGGAGACUUUUGGAGGAUCAGGGACCCAUAACAUGGAGACAAUUUAGGGAGGCUUUCUACAA